GAGGUUGUGGCUCAAAGGUAGAGUGCUCACCUAGCACAUGUGAGGCACUGGGUUCAAUCCUCAGCACCACA
rnacentral:tRNA from 1 species